AUACGUAGGUGGCAAGCGUUGUCCGGAUUUAUUGGGCGUAAAGCGAGCGCAGGCGGAAGAAUAAGUCUGAUGUGAAAGCCCUCGGCUUAACCGAGGAACUGCAUCGGAAACUGUUUUUCUUGAGUGCAGAAGAGGAGAGUGGAACUCCAUGUGUAGCGGUGGAAUGCGUAGAUAUAUGGAAGAACACCAGUGGCGAAGGCGGCUCUCUGGUCUGCAACUGACGCUGAGGCUCGAAAGCAUGGGUAGCGAACAGGAUUAGAUACCCUGGUAGUCCAUGCCGUAAACGAUGAGUGCUAAGUGUUGGGAGGUUUCCGCCUCUCAGUGCUGCAGCUAACGCAUUAAGCACUCCGCCUGGGGAGUACGGCCGCAAGGCUGAA
rnacentral:rRNA from 1 species